GAUGAAGAACGUAGCGAAAUGCGAAAAGUAAUGUGAAUUGCAGAAUUCAGUGAACCAUCGAAUCUUUGAACGCACAUUGCGCCCGCUGGAACUCCGGCGGGCACGCCUGUCCGAGCGUCAUUUCAACCCUCAGGCCCCCCUUCGCGGGCGGGCCUGGUGUUGGGGCCCGGCCGCUACCCUGCGGCCGUCCCCUAAAUUCAGUGGCGGCCUCGCCGUGAUCCCUUGCGUAGUAAUGCACCUCGCACCGGAGAGCGCCGUGGCCACGCCGUAAAACCCCCAAUUUUCGAUGGUUGACCUCGGAUCAGGUGGGAAUACCCGCUGAACUUAAGCAUAUCAAUAAGCGGAGGA
rnacentral:misc_RNA from 1 species